CAGCCGCCGCGGGAAUACGAAGGGUGCAAGCGUUACUCGGAAUUACUGGGCGUAAAGCGUGCGUAGGUGGUGGUUUAAGUCCGUUGUGAAAGCCCUGGGCUCAACCUGGGAAUUGCAGUGGAUACUGGGUCACUAGAGUGUGGUAGAGGAUAGUGGAAUUUCCGGUGUAGCAGUGAAAUGCGUAGAGAUCGGAAGGAACAUCUGUGGCGAAGGCGGCUAUCUGGGCCAACACUGACACUGAGGCACGAAAGCGUGGGGAGCAAACAGGAUUAGAUACCCCGGUAGUCCCUGUCUCUUAUAC
rnacentral:rRNA from 1 species